rnacentral:rRNA from 1 species
GAUAAACGCUGGCGGCGUGCAUAACACAUGCAAGUCGAACGAAGUGGCGAACGGGUGAGUAACACGUGAGUAACCUGCCUUACACAAGGGGAUAGCCUUUGGAAACGAAGAAUAAUACUCUAUAGUGUAAGAUGGACUUACGUCUGAUUAGCAUGUUGGUGAGAUAAAAGCCCACCAAGGCGACGGUCAGUAGCCGGCUUGAGAAAGGGUACGGCCACAUUGGGACUGAGACAGGGGCGAAACUCGACGAUGGGGAGCAGUGGGGAAUAUUGCACAAUGGGGGAAACCCAGAUGCAGCGACGCGGAGUGAUUUAGAAGGCCUUCAGGUUGUAAGAGUGUUUUUUAAGGGAUGCGGUACCAUAAGAAUAAGGUCCGGCUAAAUACGUGCCAGCAGCCGCGGUAAUUC